rnacentral:rRNA from 1 species
GUAGGGAAUAUUGGGCAAUGGGCGAAAGCCUGACGCAGCCAUGCCGCGUGAAUGAUGAAGGUCUUAGGAUUGUAAAAUUCUUUCACCGGGGACGAUAAUGACGGUACCCGGAGAAGAAGCUCCGGCUAACUUCGUGCCAGCAGCCGCGGUAAUACGAAGGGGGCUAGCGUUGCUCGGAAUUACUGGGCGUAAAGGGCGCGUAGGCGGACAGCUUAGUCAGAGGUGAAAGCCCAGGGCUCAACCUUGGAAUUGCCUUUGAUACUGGCUGUCUUGAGUACGGGAGAGGUGAGUGGAACUCCGAGUGUAGAGGUGAAAUUCGUAGAUAUUCGGAAGAACACCAGUGGCGAAGGCGACUCACUGGCCCGUUACUGACGCUGAGGCGCGAAAGCGUGGGGAGCAAACAGGAUUAGAAACCCGUGUAGUCC